AACUGAGUUUUUGACCAAAGAACUUUCCAAGUUCUGGAAUUUGGAAGAAAAGGACUUUAAAAUUGUGUCAGCUUUCAGACUUGGAAGAUUUAUAAAGAAGGAGAGGCCCAGGGAUUGUUUGAUUACAUUGAGAUCGAAGGAGGAAAGGGAUAAGAUUUUGGGCCUACAUUACGAAAAGUCACUGGAAGUUUUGGAUAGAAGAAUUGAGAUAUAUAAAGAUAUCCCAAGACAACUGUUGGAUCUUAGAGCCGCCUAUUCUGAACUAGCUAAACUAUUAAGGAGCAACGCAAUUCCAUUCAGGUGGGAUUUUCCCCAGGGAUUGUCUUUUACCUUUAGAGCGAGAAAGGUUAAAAUUAGAACAUUGGAAGAGAGAGAUAAAUUUCUGGCUACACACGGAGAGGACCUACAUAAAGGAAUUGAACUACCUUCCGGGCCUGAGGCAAAGCCAGCAUCAAUACCUCCACCUCGGGAACUUGAAGAUCAAGAGAAGACACCACCCCAGGAGAAAUAACCAGAUAGAUCCAGGAUGUCUCUGCAACUGUUGAGCUGGAAUAUUAAUGGUUGCAAUAUCCCGGAGAAAAGGAAGAAAAUUUUUCAUAUAUUAAAAAAAGAACAAUUGGACAUUAUUUGCUUACAAGAAACACAUGUGACGAGGCUCCACAGAAAAGUGUUAACAAAUAAAAGAUUGGGCCAGGAAUUUAUUUCGUCGGAUAAAGUGAAGAAGAGAGGAGUGGUGAUAUAUGCAAAAGAGAGCCUGUCACCUAAAUUUCUAUUUAAAGAUGAACAUGGAAGGAUUUUGGCUAUUGAGAUACAAUAUCAAGGAGAGAAAUUGCUGAUAUUAGGAAUCUAUGCGCCUAAUGAAGGGAAAUCGGAAUUUUACAAGAAGUUGCAGGGGACAAUGCUGGAUCAUCUGGAUUACAACAACAUCAUAAUGAUGGGAGACAUGAACGGGGUCGUGUCAACUAACAUGGACAAGUCGCAAAGUCAAAACAUCACAAAAGAUGGCAGACUACCUAAAACCUUUUUUUGAAAUGACUGACAAUAUGGACUUGAUCGACAUUUGGAGAACAAAAAACCCACUAGGUAGAGAAGGAACAUUCUUUUCUGAAGCCCAACUGACCUGGACAAGAAUCGACCAAAUAUGGAUCUCUAGAGGCCUGGCACCUAGGGUUAGAAAAGUGGAAAUCUGCCCAAAGACCUGUUCUGACCACAACGCAGUAAAGAUGGACAUGACACUACUACCAACUGGAUCCUUUAGAUGGAAGAUGAAUGACAAUUUGUUUAGAGAUCAGGAAAUUACCAAGAAGGCCCAAAAAGUUUUGAAAGAUUAUUUUGAGAUAAAUAUGAACAAUUCGGUGGAAAAAAGAAUCGUCUGGGACGCAAGCAAAGCUGUCAUGAGGGGUUUUCUGAUACAACAGAAUGUAGU
rnacentral:lncRNA from 1 species